rnacentral:lncRNA from 13 species
AGCAUGUCUCAUCAUGUCUUCAGGAUCAGGACCCACAAGCUAAAUCCCCUCCUGUUCCCUGAUUAAGAGGUGAGGACCACUCCACUCCACUACCAUUGUCAACUCUCUCCUGACAUGAACUGAAGCCACGUCUCAUGUAUCCACACAUCCACUGGCACUGCGAGUGCCCCUAUCAAUUGUCUCUCAUUAGCUCAAAUCCUGAACACGCCUCAUACCCUCAUUCAAUUACUGCUGUGAUCCCUUCCCAACACUAUGUAAGUAGCCCUCUCAUUUCCAUUCCCCAUAAUAUUGUACUAUAAAUGUCUUUAUUGAAUGCUGUAGGUUAAAAUAGGUGAGUCUGACGAUUUUUGAAACACACUUUGUCAUCUGUGUGUUCUGCGCCUAUAGGUCUCCCAUCUUCCUCAAUGUUUCAGGUCACCAGCCUCCACUGAUGUACAGUAUAUGGAAAGACCAUCUAUAUACUGAAAAAUCCCUCUCUUCAAAUCAAUGAUGAUGAAUCACAUACAGUACAGUACUACUCCAGUAACUCCGCCUAAGGCAGUGGUAAAGAUAGUGAAGAUAGUUUCCUGUGGCUGUCCAACCAUCAACCAAAAGCAAAGAGUCACAUGCAGGUAAAGCUUUCAAUUUGAACAUUACUUUGCUCUAAAAACUUUGAAGUGCCAAGUGAAGUCUUCUAUGAAACUUUGAUGAAGUAGGUCAUAAAAUAUGGAGGCCGUUACGAAGUGGACAUUAAUGGGUUGCCCAUGGGUAGACCCCUCCAUGCAGAGUCUGUGAUGAGGUGAAACUACCUGCUGUGCUGAACACAAGAUUUCAGGAAUGGAGGCGUGAGCAGAGCAGAGUACUACAAUUAAACUCCUCAUACCAAAAAUAAAUAUGUACACAAUUCAAGUAUGUACAUUGCAUUAAAAUGUAAUGUUAGUAAUAUUAUAAUUUACAUUAAUUAUUUAUAUUAAAAUGUUUUGUAUGUAAUGUAGGCUACAUAAAAUGUUGAAAACAUAUCUACGUAUAUCCCACAGUGUAUGUCUCACAGUCCAUCAUUACUUUAAGACAUG